rnacentral:lncRNA from 1 species
CCCAGUGUCAUGCUACAGUAAACCCCUAUGAUUAAACUAAUCAUUUUUCCAAACAGUGCUUAAUAACCUUGUUCAAUAUCCCAUUUGUAAUUCUAGUCAAUUCAAAUUCAAGUGAAGUUUGAAGUUGCUCAAAAGUUGCUGGAAAAAUGUUCAUCAUUUGUCAAAAAUUUCAUAAUACUCCUUUGUUAAGGAACACUACAUCACUUUUGUGCAAAGAUGAGCAUUAGCAAUUAUAACAGCACCAAUUCAGCAUUUUUAAAUGCUAUCCUAUUUAUGAAAAAUACCAAAUGAAUUCUUUUGGUCUCCAAAAUAUUUGUGGUACUGUCUAAUAUCACCAGGGAAUAAAAGGGGCACUUCACAUAUUUUUCCAAAGAAAAUGGCAUGCCCAAUAUUUUCUUACGCAUCUCUGAUUAUAAAAAAAACAAAAAAGGAAAGUUGUUUAAAUAAAAGAGAAAACCUCCCCUGUAUCCCCCCACUGGGCCUUAGCUACCUGGGAGGCCCAAACCAGCAGCCAACAACCCCUUUUUCCCCUUCCUCCUGCUACAAGAAGCAGGGGGGAUCGUGGAGGCCAUCCAUGGCGCCCCGGCCACAUGUCGGCCAUCCCGCGGCCCUCCCUGGAGGUUAAGAGCAUCGCCCGCACUGCCCCGGAAACCCUAGCCCCCUUUUCCCCCUUCAUCGCGUCGUUUCCCUCUCUCCCACGCGCAUCGCCCGAAGCUCCCCGCUAUGGCCGAUGUUGUUCGAACGCUCCCCGUCCUCUCCGCGACGUGGGACUGAGUCUGGGAGCACCGCCGUCGUCUGCUACGUCUUCCUCGCCCAGUCGGUUAAGCCAGGACCCCUGCAUCGCCUACAUCAGCUCCUUCAAGCUCCGGCCGCCGCUCAUCGCCACUUCGAUCCCCCGCCGUUCGACCCGCUCCGGCUUCACCAAGUUGCUCCUCGUCACCGAUGUGAGCACCACGUGGUUUCCCCUCUGUUCCCGCCAUCAAUCUCGUCGCCUAGUACUCAUCCCCGCGAGCUCCGUCUCGGCCGUCUGCCAUGGCCGGCGGGCUCAUCGCUGCCGUGUCCCCUAGCUCCGUCUGUCGAUGCGAGCAUGCUCCAGGAGUUGUGUAGAUUCCGCCUAGCCUCUCGGUUCGUCAUCUGAGCCCGUGGGCUCGAUCCAGUCGAACGCCGACACUGCCGUCGCUCGGCCGUCGACGUAGUCGUCGUUCUUGGGCACCCCCCUGUGCACGCUAGCACCCUGGACCGAUGCACCGCGCAGCCCCGCACCGCCCAAGCUCCGGCCAUUGGCCACGGUUCGUGUUCGCGCCUCGUGCCAUAGCGCCCCGUGCGAGCCCCCUGGCCGCGUCCGGCCGCGACCGGCCGCGCGCCGUCCGUCCACUGGCCGCACCCCGCCGCUGCCGUUGCAUGCCCUUGGCUAGCCCCGUGCCUUCUUUGCUGCUGCGUGCUUGCUGCUCACGCGCUGCUGCUGCCUGCUCUGCCUACUGCUACUCCCGAUGCUGCUUGCUCCUGCUUGCAGCCGCUCCUAGCUGCUGCUACUUCGCUAGCUGCUAAGCUGUGCUGCUUUGCUGCUGGCCAUGGCCGUGCGUGAGUGUGGUGUGUGUGUGUGCACGUGUGUGUGGGGCUGGCCCAAAUUGGUUUAGGUGUAAAUUAAUUAGCUAGAUUAGUUCUAGGAUUAUUUUGAUGUUUAGUCAGUAUUAAUUUAGUGUUAGAUUAGCCUAAUAGCCUAUGACAUGUGGCCCCAUUUUAAUCUAGACAUUUUUUUAAUUUAGAUGCCCAUGACAUGUGGGCCAUACCUCACCUUUGACCAGUCAAAAGCUGACUGGGCUGUUGACUUUGACCCUGACCCCACUGUCAGCCUCUAACAAGCCUUGCUGGGUGCACUCCUCAGGGUGCACUGAGCAAUUUCAGUUAAUAUUUUCGAAUUAAUAAUAAAUCCAGAAUUUUAGAAUAUUGUUUAAAACUUUAGAAAAUCAUAGUUAAUAAUCCGUAACUCGGAUGAAAAUGUUUUCUACAUGAAAGUUGCUCAGAACGACGAGACGAAUCCGAAAAAGCGGACCGUUCGUCUGCCACACGUCCCUAGCUUAGCAAACCUCGAACCUUUCCCCUUCGGUUCAUUUGUCUGACAUACGUCCGGAACCGGGAAAACAUUCCCGGAUAUUUCCCCUCUUCGUCUGUAUCACCUAGCACCGCGUUAGAUCGCUCCUAGAACCGCGUUUUACCAUGUUAUGCUUUAUGAUGCUUUGAUUGCUCUGUUAUUUAUGGUGUUCCCUCUCCGUCACUUCUUUCUGGUAGACCCCGAGACGGCUGUCGAUGCCACUAUGUUCGACUACGUCACCGACGACCCUCCUUGUCUGAGCAACCAAGCAAGCCCCCCCUUUGAUCAUCCCGAUACCGCCCAUUCCAUUCUCUCAUGCUUGCAUUAGAUUUUGCUAUCAUUAUUGUUUGCUCCUAUUCUGAUGCAUAGUCUGUUUAUUGUAACAUGUUGUUGUUACCUACCUGCUUAUCCUAAACUGCUUAGUAUAGGUUGGUUAGUGAUCCAUCAGUGACCCCCACCUUGUCCUUGUUGCCCCUGCUUCAUCAUUGAAGACCCGAUCAACGGGAUCGAAGACCAGGCCCUGGCACCGCACAUCACUUUUCCCUUAGUUGCUCGACACUGCUGGGUUACUAUCGAGUGCCGAGGAUGAGACCUCUACAGCACUUCUGAUGUUAACCCUGUAGUGUAGCUAUUCAGUCGUGGUCAUCGAGGGUGAUUCCGGCUUAACCACUUCCGAUACGACUCUGUCGUGCAACCCCUCAAGUGUGAACCUCAGGGGUGAUUCCUCUUACGUUCACCUUGAUGAUUACAUCGAGUGGAAUUCACCAAGGGUGAUUCCUGGGUUUUCCCCUUGAUGUUUAGACACACAAUUACUAUGAUUACUAUGACUUUACAAUGAACCAUGUUACUAAAGACGGGUCGACCCUAAGGGGUACCCGCACGAGCAUAAUUGCGAGUGAUGAGGAGUCGGGUUGACCUGGAAGGUGCCCGUGAGAUAAUUACGAGGCGUGACCGGGCAUUCUUAGCCCUUGCCGCAAGUCCUCGAGAUGGGGCAAUGGGGUCACAUCUUUCGUGCAUCUCUGCUUGUUACCGCAUGUUCAUAAUCCACUACGAUUUGUUUGGAUAUUUGAUCCGAGGGGCCUCUGGCCUGAUAGCACUAACCAUCACGUGGGCAUAGUAUGGGCGUUCUGCGUCGUAUGCAUGAGCCGAAGCUUAACACACGUCAGCGACUGAGCGGCGCGCGCCGGGUGGGACUGGUAAGCACCUGCCUUUUCAGGGAGGUAGCUAGGUCUGCUCACCGGCCGCAUUCGCAACAUGCAGGAGUUCCCGGGGAGAUGGCCCAUGACCCUUGGGGGCAUAGGUUUAGUCCGGCAUGCUAGCCUCUCUAUUAUGCCUAGGUCGGGUUGUGGCGUAUUGUUUGGUCCAGGCCGGGCAUGACCAAGGAAAGUGUGUCCGGUCGGAGUUAAUCGAGUGUGGUGGGUAAGUUGGUGCACCCCUGCAGGGAAGAAAACAUCUAUCGAUAGCCUGUCCUACGGUAACGGACACUUGGAGUUGUAUCCCGAUCGAUACAACUAGAAAUGGAUACUUGUGAUGAGAAUUGGAUUGUGAUGAGAAAUGGAUAGUAUGGCUCUGGGAUUGCUUUCUCGCAGGGAGUCGAGAAAGGAUCUCUGGCCGAGGUUGAUAACACUACUACUACUUUACUUUAUGCUACUCUACUCCCUCCUGUUGCUGCAAGAUGGUGGUUUCUAGAAGAUGCUAGUCUUUGAUAGGACUAGGCCUUCUCUCUAUUCUGGCAUUUUUGUAGCCCAGUCCACAUAUACAGCCUUCCUUUGGUAAUGUUGCAUAUGUAGUGUAGAUCCUUGCUUGCGAGUACUUUGGAUGAGUACUCACGGCUGCUUUGCUCCCCCUUUUCCCCCUUUCUUUUUCUUUCCGGUUAAUGCAACCAGAUGUCAGAGUCCAGGAGCCAGAUGCCACCUCUGGUGCCUACUACUACGUGGAGACUGCUGACGACCAGGAGUAGUUAGGAGGCUCCCAGGCAGGAGGCCUUGCCUUUUCGAUCGUUGCUGCUUUUGUGCUAGCCUUCUUAAGGCAAACUUGUCUAACUCAUGUCUGUACUCAGAUAUUGUUGCUUCUGCUGACUCUUGUGUUUUCGAGCUUAUGUAUUCGAGCCCUCGAGGCCCCUGGCUUGUAAUAUAAAGCUUGUAUUAUUUUAAUUUGUGUCUAGAGUUGUGUUGUGAUAUCUUCCCAUGAGUCCUUGAUCUUGAUCGUACACAUUGCAUGUAUGAUUAGUGUACGAUUGAAUCGAGGGCGUCACAAGUUGGUAUCAGAGUCGACUGCCUGUAGGUAGCCCCCUUUCCAACUCCUUGGCCGAAGUUGAGUCUAGUCACUGAAAAACUUUUACUAACAUGGCUGUGUGUCUUACGGGCCCACGUCGCCAUUGGGUGGUAUUAGGAUCUUUUACUCCUCGUCUAUACUCUGGGACUCUAAACUCUCUUCUACUCGCGUCAAAUGAAUUUACUAACUACAUUAGGUUCUUGUAACGACUUUCUCCGGAGAGCCCCUUCAUUCCGGAUGGUCGCCUGGUGCACCAGAAGAUUCUGAAGAUACUCUACGAUGUUCUCUUGAGACUUUGUGCCAAUUGCUUUUGCAAUUCCCUACCAUCGAUAUAUCCUUAUGGAUAACUACAUACACUUGUCAUUCAUACAAUCAUUCCUUGUUGCUCUUGUUAUUACAAGAUGCCUUAAAAUACUCUCCGUUACCCCGAGAAUCCUUUGUGCCUGCUGCCUUGCAGCUCCUUUUCCGCAUGAAUACAUGUAUGAAUAAUUCCUCACGCUUACCAGGGAUCCGUUCAUCACCGGUUGUUCUUGUGUUUCACAAAUUCUUUGGAAUACUAUUCGAUCUUCUGGUAGUACUCAGUAGCCUAUUGCUCCCGUUCUUCCUUAUCGUCUUGCAUUAUGGUUAAUUCCAAAUGUGUAACAAUAUUCAUUAAACUCCUUUGAGAUUGUCAUUCUUAUCCUAUUGAUUCGACAUGUGCGUGAAUGCACACAUUCAUUAGUUAUUCCCUGGUAAUUAUUUAUCCUUCUGGCUUAGACUCCACUCUGGACAUGAUCUGGUUCUCGGCAAGUCAAACCUUGAUUGCUUGUCCAUCUAGUUCGAUUCAACUUACUCAUACUUGAUCAGAGCUUUUGCUUCUGAUUCCCUGAUAUAGAAAUUGCAAUUCCUUUGUAUUUAAUAUACUUCAAAUUAUCCAGAUAUUUCUAUAAUCGAAUGCCUUUGCAUUCUUUCCUUCUUCUGAUUGAGUACUGAUACUCAUAUCAGAUCCAUUGAGGACCGCUGAAUCCUUUGUUGGAUUAUUAUCCGGCAGUGUCCUUCAUAUUCAAAAUUUUGUGCGCUCUUCCCCUGAUACAUAUUGCCGUUGGUAAAUUGUAUUCUCUGCUUUGUCAACCAUGCUUUGCUUCCGAGCUUGAGUUAAUUACCUCUGAAGUUUUUGCAAAUGUUCCUAAGAUGCCCCUAUGGGUUGAACCUAUGCCUUCCUUAAUCCAUGUGAACCCGAGAGUUUUCACGAGUCAUACUCUUCUGGUGUUUUGCCAGAUAAAAUUUCAACUCUACAACUUCUUCAGAGACGAGAAGUGAAUGAAAGGUUAGGCAUUGAAAAAGUGGGAGUCGACCUUGAACCUUUGUGUUCAUGCCCAUGGACCCGAUGUGGAACUUGUCAUGGAAGCUUCUUGUAAUAAUAACUAUUUCCUUAAUAUAAUAUCAUUUGGUAUCGGUGAAUUGAUCCUUCGCAACCAUGGUUCCGACCAUGAUUGUUCUUCUUUGGUCCCAUUUCUUGGACAAGUUAAAUCACUUGUCUUCUGCCGGUUAAUACGCCUGCCCAACCUCUAUUAUGAUCUACUUUCGAGUAUUACCCAUGGUAUCUCGAGGAUAUCAUGCCAUUGCACAACAUCUUAUGGACUUUUGAUGGAGUACUACCUUACCCUGUCUUUGUCACUUCAUGGGAUUUGGGUUGUUUAUCAACCGAGAAUACCGAUAAGUGGAUCGAUUCUGCACUUUGAUUCAAUGACUCUAAGUAAUUUUCGUUGCUUACGAGUUUAAUAAUCCUUCAAGUCAUUCCUAGCCUGAUCGGCUAUAUCAUUAUCAUGCCAAAUUAUAACUGUGCUACCUGGUUCUUCCCGGAGCACAAUUUUCGUCGAUGAGCUAAGCUUACGUCGAUCUUCCUCGUCAUAUCAUUUCGCCUUGAACAACAAGCUUGGUUUCAAGUUGUGUCAUAUCCGUGGUUCUCAUUGCCUUUCACUUCAUCUUUCCUUUUGUUUGUUGUCGUCGCUGCUCGAUGGCAUCUUCCAAGAAUCUCCCGACAAAAUUUGUCGUGAUCGCCGUCAACACUUUGAUUUCUUCAGAGAUGUCAAUCGAAUUCAUGUUGAGAAAUACCAUCCUUGCUCUUCGAUGAUUUGUGAUAUCAUCAAUGACAUCCUUGACUUUCUGCCAACACAGACCCGGUUGUGUUUGAUUAUUCCUUACGUUCAGAGAUAAUCUUGGAAAUGUUCCUUUGUAUCUCUUGUGAUCUUUAGAUCCAACCUUACUAGAAACACCAUAUGUCAAUGCUACCAUGAAGCAUGACUGUGGAAUUCUGAAUAUCGACAAGAACAUUGGUAGCACAUUAUCAAAGGUCCUGGAUCUAUCAUCCGCACACCGUUGCAUGGAUAACAUCAUGAAUUUCCUUGCCCCUUCAUCUAAAUGGUGAUGUACUUGUUGUUCUGACAUGUAUAUCAUGCUCUACUUUUCCUUGGGAAAAGAUAUACUCCCAAUUCUUGUGUGUAAACACAUUAUUUUCUUUCCAUUGCUUUGUUUAAUCUUUCUUGUGAUCUAUGAUAUAAGCAGUAAUAUUUUCCUGCUUAUGUAAACACCUCGGUGUACAACUCUGUCAGUAAACCCUGUUACUAUUGUUGAUGACAUUCCGGUAACCACCGAUGGACGAGAACUUUGCCUAUUGGUCUGCCUCAUUCAACGAGCAGGAAAAUGGUUCUCUUCGUCCCUCGCCCUUGGUACCAACGUUAUUGCCAACAUAACAGACAUGCUAUACUAUGACAUGCCUUGCUAUCUUAUCCGCGUAAGAUGUCGCUGCUUUUCCUACUCUGAACACACCUGGUGGGCCCAUAACCCACAGUUCCACAGGAUCAAAACCUGACUCCCUUGUACAACCUUUAUUCUGAAGUAUCCUUUGCAAUUGGCUUCGUAUGAAAUUCUCGAGCCACCGUCCUAUGGAUGAUCUAGUAUGGUAUUAGAUGGAAUAUUUCUUUUCGUUGCUCCGAACCCCUUUAGCCUUCUGAUUUGGCAUCAGACGAUUGCCUGCCCGUUAUAACUUCUCAUGGUACCUUCAUACUUUGCUCUCAAAGUUUUAUUAAGUUUCAACUCGAGAGAUACUUCCGCCUUAUGCCCUGAAUUGUUCACCAGAUAAUUAACCCUAUAAAGGUUAGUUCCCCGAAGUUCCUCUUUACUUCUCCACUUAAAUCUCGGGACGAGAUUUCUUGUAGUGGAGGAUAUUUGUAACACCCCCAGUGUCAUGCUACAGUACCCCCCUAUGAUUAAACUAAUAAUUUUCACAAACAGUGCUUAAUAACCUUGUUCAAUAUCCCAUUUGUAAUUCCAGUCAAUUCAAAUUCAAGUGAAGUUUGAAGUUGCUCAAAAGUUGCUGGAAAAAUGUUCAUCAUUUGUCAAAAAUUUCAUAACACUCCUUUGUUAAGGAACACAACAUCACUUUUUUGCAAAGAUGAGCAUUAGCAAUUAUAACAGCACCAA